UUGAUCCUGCCGGACCCUACUGCUAUCGGGGUGAGACUAAGCCAUGCAAGUUGUGCGCUCCUUAGCCAUGUUUGGAGAGCAGCAAACGGCUCAGUAACACGUAGUCAAUCUGCCCUUAGGACGAGGAUAACCCUGGGAAACUGGGGCUAAUAAUCGAUAGAUGGAAGCGCCUGGAAUGGUCUUCCGUUGAAAAGUUUUCGGGAACAUGCUUCCGAAAGCGCCUAAGGAUGAGACUGCGGCCUAUCAGGCUGUUGGUGGGGUAACGGCCCACCAAACCUAUAACAGGUACGGGCCCUGAAAGGGGGAGCCCGGAGAUGGGAACUGAGACAAGGUCCCAGGCCCUACGGGGCGCAGCAGGCGCGAAAACUCCGCAAUGCGCGAAAGCGUGACGGGGUUAACCCGAGUGCUGUCCGUUGAGGAUAGCUUUUCUCCAGUGUAAGGAUCUGAAGGAAUAAAGGGGGGGCAAGUCUGGUGUCAGCCGCCGCGGUAAUACCAGCCCCCUGAGUGAUAGGGACGAUUAUUUAGCCUAAAGCGUCCGUAGCCGGCUUAGAAAGUCUUUCGUCAAAUCUGACGACUUAAUCGCUAGAGUGCGGAAGAUACUACUAGGCUUGAGGGCGGGAGAGGUUGACGGUAGUCCAGGAGUAGGGGUGAAAUCUUAUAAUCCCUGGAGGACCACCAGUGGCGAAGGCGGUCGACUGGAACGCGCCUGACGGUGAUGGACGAAAGCUGGGGGUGGCGAACCGGAUUAGACACCCCGGGUAGUCCCAGCUGUAAACGAUGCGGGCUAGGUGUUGGGGCAGCUACUUGCUGCUCCAGUGCCGC
rnacentral:rRNA from 1 species